rnacentral:lncRNA from 1 species
AUCUAAAUGAUUGGGUGAGAUGUGUUCCACUUUAUCUAUGACUGUCAUAUAUAAAAAACAAAGAAAGUCUCUUGAUGCAGAAACAUGACCUUUCUUAUUUGUUUGAGUAAAAGGCUGUUGUUUUGUGCAUGACACAAGUUGUAUUAUAAACUCAAAACCCAAUACAUUCAGAAGAAAAUUAUCCUAAAAUCACCUAUUUUGAAGUCCUAAAUAUUAUGGAAAGUUAUGGAGUGGAUGACAUUCAUAAUGUUGCUCUGAUUUUUUCUUCUCCUGUUGAUACUUGACACCAUGUUUUGAAUAGAAAUUUCUUCAAGAGAUGUGUGUGAGCUUUGAUGGUAAUGCUGUAUGAAGAUUCCAAGAAACUUGAGAAGGUCAUCAUUGUUGUCAAAUCACAUAAUUGAGUGAUCCAUGGAACCAGAAAGUGGAUCUGUUCCAC